rnacentral:rRNA from 1 species
UACGGAAGGUCCGGGCGUUAUCCGGAAUUAUUGGGCGUAAAGGGUGCGUAGGCGGCCUGUUAAGUUUAAGGUGAAAGCGUGGGGCUCAACCCCAUACAGCCUUAGAUACUGGCAGGCUAGAGUACUGGAGAGGAAAGUGGAAUUCCAUGUGUAGCGGUAAAAUGCGUAGAGAUAUGGAGGAACACCGGUGGCGAAGGCGGCUUUCUAGACAGUAACUGACGCUGAGGCACGAAAGCGUGGGGAGCAAAUA